rnacentral:rRNA from 1 species
GAAUUUUGGACAAUGGGGGGAACCCUGAUCCAGCCAUCCCGCGUGUGCGAUGAAGGCCGUCGGGUUGUAAAGCACAUUUGGCAGGGAAGAAAAGGAACUGGUUAAUACCCGGAGCUGCUGACGGUACCUGCAGAAUAAGCACCGGCUAACAACGUGCCAGCAGCCGCGGUAAUACGUAGGGUGCAAGCGUUAAUCGGAAUUACGGGGCGUAAAGCGGGCGCAGGCGAUUUAGGAAAAAGGAUGUGAAAUACCAGGGCUUAACCGUGGAACUGCAUUCUUAACUGCCAGGCUAGAGUAUGUCAGAGGGGGGUAGAAUUCCGCGUGUAGCAGUGAAAUGCGUAGUGAUGCGGAGGAAUACCGAUGGCGAAGGCAGCCCCCUGGGAUAAUAAUGACGCUCAUGCACGAAAGCGUGGGGAGCAAAC